rnacentral:rRNA from 1 species
AGUGAACGCUGGCGGCGGGCCUAACACAUGCAAGUCGAGCGGCCGCACAGUAAGAGUUUUCUCUUACGGGUGGCGAGUGGCGGGCGGGUGAGGCGUACAUCGCCAUCUUCUUUUUCGUGGGGAAUAACGUGGGGCAACUUCCACUACUACCGCAUACGAUCUACGGGUGAAAGCAGGAGUUCUUCGGACUUUGCGCGAUUGAUUGAGCCGACGUCGGAUUAGCUAGUUGGCGGGGUAAAGGCACACCAAGGCGACGAUGCGUAGCUGACCUGAGAGGAUGAUCGGCCACACUGGAACUGAGACACGGUCCAGACUCCUACGGGAGGCAGCAGUGGGGAAUAUUGCGCAAUGGGCGAAAGCCUGAUGCAGCAAUGCCGCGUGAGUGAUGAAGGUCUUCGGAUCGUAAAACUCUGUUAUUAGGAAAGAAAAGCAGUGUAAGUAUAUCUCGACGUUCUGACGGUACCUAAAGAGAAAGCAACGGCUAACUACGUG